rnacentral:rRNA from 1 species
UCAGCAGCGGGGAGCAUGGACUGGAGGGCCAUGGGCGCCGUCACCGGCGUCAAGGACCAAGGCUCUUGCGGCUGCUGCUGGGCGUUCUCGGCGGUGGCGGCGGUGGAAGGGCUGACCAAGAUCCGCACGGGGCGGCUUAUGUCACUGUCGGAGCAGCAGCUGGUGGACUGCGACGUGAACGGCGACGACGAGGGCUGCGCCGGCGGCCUCAUGGACAACGCCUUCGAGUACAUGGUCCGCCGCGGCGGCCUCACCACGGAGUCGUCCUACCCGUACCGCGGCACGGACGGGUCGUGCCGCCGCUCGGCCUCGGCCGCGUCCAUCCGGGGGUACGAGGACGUGCCGGCCAACAACGAGGCCGCGCUGAUGGCGGCCGUGGCGCACCAGCCCGUGUCCGUGGCCAUCAACGGCGGCGACAGCGUGUUCCGGUUCUACGACAGCGGCGUGCUGGGCGGGUCCGGCUGCGGCACGGAGCUCAACCACGCCAUCACGGCGGUCGGGUACGGCACGGCGGGCGACGGCACCAAGUACUGGAUCAUGAAGAACUCGUGGGGCGGGUCGUGGGGCGAGGGCGGCUACGUCAGGAUCCGCCGCGGCGUGCGCGGCGAGGGCGUCUGCGGCCUCGCCCAGCUCGCGUCCUACCCUGUCUAG